rnacentral:rRNA from 1 species
UACGUAGGGGGCGAGCGUUGUCCGGAUUUAUUGGGCGUAAAGAGCGUGUAGGCGGUCCGGUAAGUCCGCUGUGAAAGUCGGGGGCUCAACCCUCGAAUGCCGGUGGAUACUGUCGGGCUAGAGUGCGGAAGAGGCGAGUGGAAUUCCUGGUGUAGCGGUGAAAUGCGCAGAUAUCAGGAGGAACACCUAUUGCGAAGGCAGCUCGCUGGGACGUAACUGACGCUGAGACGCGAAAGCGUGGGAAGCAAACAGG